rnacentral:misc_RNA from 1 species
GAUGAAGAACGCAGUGAAAUGCGAUAAGUAGUGUGAAUUGCAGAAUUUAGUGAAUCAUCGAAUCUUUGAACGCACAUUGCGCCCUAUAGUAUUCUGUAGGGCAUGCCUGUUCGAGCGUUAUUGAGACCUCAAGCUCUGCUUGGAAAUGGGCGCUUGUCUUGCCUUGCAGACUCGCCUUAAAACCAUUGGCAGCUGAUUUACAAUGUUUGGUGCACAGUACAUGAGCCCAAGUGUUGCAAUGAGUGGCCCAAAAGUAUACAAUAGAAGCUUAACCUCGGAUCAGGUAGGGAUACCCGCUGAACUUAAGCAUAUCAAUAAGCGGAGGA